rnacentral:snRNA from 1 species
GUCCCUUCGGAGACAUUUGAUAAAUUUGGAACGAUACAAAGAAGAUUAACAUGACUCUUCCAAAAAAAUAACAAUCAUAAAUCGAGAAAAAGGUUCAAUUUUU